rnacentral:lncRNA from 1 species
CAGAACAAUCUCCUGGAACUAAAACCAAGAAUGCCUUUAUCCUCAGCAACCUGCCGGGAGAUGUUCCACAGCCAGCUUUCUCCACAAGAGCCAGGUUACAGUGUCUGUAUAUGACAGCAACUGAAGCAAAAGCUUUUGUCUUUUAAAACAGAGUAGUUCACGUACAGCACAGUAGACUCCAACCUGAAACCAUUUAAUAUCAGACUCUGAGCAAAAAGCCAUUUGUAACAGAGGAGCCAUAAACCAUGAUAUUAUUUGCCACAUACCAGCGAGAUGGUCUGUUCAUACCAUUUAUGGAUCAGUGAAAGGAAGAAAGCAGUGGAUUGACAACAGUAACAUGGAAGGCAUCAUUUAUUUUUCUUACCUGCUAUAAGAGGUCUGAAUUCUGACUUCAUUUAGUUGAGCACAAAGCCAAUGAUGUGUCAGGCUGGACUACUUGCUCUGCCUUGUCUUCUUUUUAAGCUGUGGACAAGACUGGAAGUUAAUACAACAGAGAGAGACCAAGGCACAACUACAGCUGUCUCACUUGUGUACCACUCAAUGCAGAUGUUUUCAAAUCUGCCCAUUUGCCCGUAUGCAAGUGCUUAAUUUCGGUACACACAAAAAUGCUCAUGCAGGAAUGUAUCCCCUCCACACCCCAAAGUAUGUACACACAAAUUCAGCAGAUUAUGAGAUUAGAAUGUGCCCAUCUGAACGUCUAUCUUUUGAGGGUCUGUCCAUUUGCUUUUUGCUUUGAUACUGCUCUUCAGCUUUUGUGCUGCAAGCUUGUAAACGCAUGCUAGGUGGAGGUGCUCCAGUUACACCACCUAACUAUUGCUUCU